rnacentral:rRNA from 1 species
GACAGAGGGUGCAAACGUUGUUCGGAAUUACUGGGCGUAAAGCGUGUGUAGGCGGCCAUGUAAGUCGGAUGUGAAAGCCCCGGGCUCAACCCGGGAAGUGCACUCGAUACUGCGUGGCUUGAGUAUCGGAGAGGUUGGUGGAAUUCUCGGUGUAGAGGUGAAAUUCGUAGAUAUCGAGAGGAACACCGGUGGCGAAGGCGGCCAACUGGACGAAUACUGACGCUGAGACACGGAAGCGUGGGGAGCAAACAGG